CGCUCGCGAGUGCCACGUCGUGUGCAGCGGUUGGGCGUAGCGAUGGAAAAAAAUGACCUAUUCAGGCUCUCCUCGCGACCCUCCUCUCCUUCCUAAUCUCCUGCCGCCGCCACCCGGUCCUUCCUCCUCGCCUCUGCCAUUCGAUCUCCGCCGCUCGGUCUCCUCCCCUGCAUGCGCUCCGUCCCUUCCUCCUCGUUGGCGCUCAACUGGCAGUGGAUGAGCAGCGGCGGACGAGCAGCGGCGGACGAGAUCGGCGCGUCACGAGAGCGAACACGGCAGCUAUCACGGGCAGAGCAGAGCGAAGCCGGCGUGGCGGCCGGGCGCGAUCUGGAGAACUAGUGGGCGGUGGUGCCCGAUAUGGGCCGGCGCGACCUACGCAGCGGAGCGAUCUGGACGAGAUGACUGGUGCCGGUUUCCUCACCAUGCUGCGACCAGUGCCUCGGCAGGUGAGUUGUGUUGUUGUCCUCUUUGACGACGACGGCGGGCGGCACGCCCAUCAGUGCCCAUGUGCCCCGGCCGAUGUGGACUGCUUGCGUUGGGCCAUAGCAGCUGCUUGCUCAAGCCGGCGUGUGGACUGCCUGAUUGGUCAAUGAAGGCCUCAACCAUUGGAGGCACAAAAUUGUGAAGCUUAAGAUUCCCCACCCUUGUUUCAAUCUCCGAGGAUUUCUCAAUGGAGGGUUUGUUUAACACGGAUAAGCCUUUUUACCUUAUUCUUGCUUUACACACUACAUAUCAGUUAAAUGAAUUUCUGAUAUGAUUGCUUCAGUGAUAAUUUUUGCAGAAGCACAUGCUGAUGGUGCACUUGCCUUUGGAAUAAUUACUUUGCUCUACAACAGUAUGAAGGGUAAGCUAAUUCUAUUGUCACUGUGCUUCACACUUCUCUGUCAUGGUUUACAGAUUCAGAUCUAGCAAUUAUGCUAAAGGCAGAGACAGAGAAGGGGAUUAGUGGAGUGGAUUUUCAUUUUCAGUACUGGCUUUUACCAUGACCCUGUCGUUGCCUCGUACUACAGCAACAUAUAUGAUAAAUACUUAAUAGGUACAGAGCUGCUGAGAGAAGGGUAGACAUAUCUACAAAGAGGGCCACAAGCCUAGUAUGAUUUGUCAGAGCGACAUCUACCCUCCCUGCCACAAAUGAUUGAUCCUUUUAACCAGAUUCAGAAUCCGAACUUUCGUUUCAUUAAACAAGAAAACCGAGGUUGGUCAUCCAUGAUGCAUUUAUAGAUCCAUUUGAUGAUGAAUCCCAUCCCAUCUUGAAUACCCCUCCCUUCAUUUCAAAGUUAUGAACUGGAAUGCAUUUGCAAGCAGAGGAGCGUGUCCGGCUGUUGUCGUACGAGAAGAAGCUAGUGUGUGCAGCUGAGGACCCAGGAUGCUAACGGUGUAGAGUCGUUCACCAUCGAGAGGACCAGGGCUUCCAUCAUGGUCCUCCGGACCAAGCUCAACAUAUCUGCCGCCUUCAUCGACAACUUGUCCUGGAGGAUCAUUGCCGUCUGCAACGACUCACCUGAAUGUACGCCUGUGAUGGCAUUUUAGUUUCUUCCCCACGUGAUGCAUCAAUACAAUAAGUUUAUCAAGAAUUGCAUGAAUGUGCUAUCCAGAUCCAAAAAGAAAAUGAAGGUGUCGUUCCCCUACCUGGCACUGCCCAGUCCAUUUUAGUCUUAUUGUUUCACUCAGCAACUUUACAGCUACUUCCAUAUUCCUCUGCUUAGUCUUAGACAAAUGCAGAUAAGAAAGUGAGCAUUCCUCUA